UCCACUUCGGCCUUCCCUAUACCCCUCCUGUCUCUCGCUUGGCGACACGGGGGUGGUAAAGUCGUGGGAGCGCCAUUUUUUAUUUUACCUACGUCGAGCUACAGUCGCAUGGAGAUUCAUUAAUAACAAGCUGCCGCGGUUCCUACGAGGAUUAGAGACAGAAUGGGGAAAGAGGAGUGACGGAGUGAUAGAAAGAGAGAAAUGUCUGUUCAAAUCAAUUUUCCGACGAAUAUCGGAGGAAAAAUAGAAGAAAAUCGCACGUAUAUUCACCCAUGCUCUUGUAAGAGGACAGCAACUAACCCUUUUAUCAAGUAAGAGAGGGUGGAAAGAAGGAAGGAAGGAAGGAAGGAAGGAAGGAAGGAAGGAAGGAAGAUGGUCGUCGCGACGAAGGGUCGGUCAGAUUUAGCGAAGGGCUUUUCGUUGGUGAGUUUAACAGACUUUUGCUGGUCGACGUGUAUCGAGGGGUUGAGGGGGUAGCGGAAGGAGCUGGUUUAGCAAGUUACGAGCAAUUGCCCACCUCUAUUCUGCGCCAUUGCUUCCUUCUUUAACCGACCAGUCACCUUCUCUCAUCGAGAGGCAAACCACCUCUUAGUUUCGAGGGGGCUACGAGGGUUGCGGUUGAUAGAAACUGAUGAAAAUUGCGUGAUUAACCGAGACCAUCUCCCCGGCUUAUCAACACGCUCCCGCGACCACAAGGAUCGGAAUGCCUUCGGGUUAUUUAGUGACGGACAAUCCCGAAGGACGAUGGAAGCAUUCUCUCCUAUUCUCUUCCUUCCACUCGGUACUCAAGAGAGAGAAAGAAGGAGAGAGAGAGUACAAGAUUUCUUAAAAGCAGUUCAAUAUCCCAAUUGGUUUCAAUGGAUCAAAUGACCUGUUUACUGUUUUAUCUUUGGCAAUGCUUACUACUGGAUCAGUAAGUAUAUUGAAAGAUCGCGUUUGCCGAAG